CAACCCUCUGGGUUCUCCCAGUACACUGGCUUUAAGUGCCCUGUUUCAUGCAUCGAAUUUGGACUGGUCAUCUGUUUCACAUAUGGUGAUAUACAUGUUUUAAUGCUAUUUUCUCAAAUCAUCCUACCCUCACCUUCUCCCACAGAGUCCAAAAGUCUGUUCUUUAUAUCUGUGUCUCUUUUGCCGUCUUGCAUAUAGGGCCAUCAUUGCCAUCUUCCUAAAUUCCAUAUAUAUGCAUUAAUAUACUGUAUUGGUAUGAUAAUGACUGAUGCUGA